CCUUGAAAGAGAAAACAAGCUUGAAAAAUAAUAAUAAAAUAACAGGUGUAUCCUACAUAUUUGCCAUGGUGAAGGAGGGUAAGUGACUGCUCAGUGGCUCAAAGGAAACACGUUUCUCCUUUGUCUUGUGUUCCCUUGUAGUCGAUGGCUGCAUUAUUCCCGAACUAUGUCGCACAUGUUGUUGUUCAGUUACUAGCUACCGCUAAGCUAAUGUUUCUAAAACAGACCAUUUUUAUUUGUAUAUUGAGAGCAGUUGCAAUGUAGCAAAUGCCAUGAUAUUGAUUGCAUUAUAAUAUUGUGUCAAUUAUCGGAAGUUGAACCUCAGGUAUGACCCAUUGAAGCAGAAGGGAGUUUGUGUAAUGCCCAACCCAUUUAAAAAGGUGAGAAGAGCAGACAAACUACUCCAGAAGUGAAAGGGACCAGACAACAAGGAAUCACAUGAUCUCAGGAAACUGCUUGAAACUAAUGCUCACAGACACCAGGUGGCAGCAUUGAGACAGUCAUGUAAGGUCCGCAACAGUGGAGGAACAUCCCAGACCGCUCUCCAGCUAAAUAAUGCACGCAAAAAUACGAGUCAGAUUCACAUAAUCUCUGAAGAUCCUGAGCUGGGGAAAUUCAGUGCAACAUACAGAAAUCAACAUUGUUUCAACAGUCAUCCUCAACAUACGCUCUUUUUGGAGAUCCUUACCUCUUUGGUCAAGAACAGACUGUGCAGAUAGUUUUUCAUCAACUCCAAGCUGUUGAUCUUCUUGCAAGGUACAUGGAGUUGAUGUGCAGCAGUUACCUGGAGUGUGGAAAGCAGACAUUUGCCAUGGAGAAGUUGGUCACUAUGACAUAUAUGUUUCAGAAACUGUUUGCAGUGGAGGACCAAAGGCAGUGGGUUAUUGAGAGUGGAGCUCAUAAGAAUGCAAGGAAAAGAUAGGAGAGUUGUCAAUCGUGGAGAAUCUUCUUGUUAUACUACAAGAUUAUGACUUACUGUCCAUAAGGAUGAAUGCAGAGUUGCUGCGGCUACUUUCCCCGGUGCGACAGGUGCGGGAGCAUGGGAGGGAGUGUGAGGGCCUGCCGGUGCUGCUCAGCCUGCUGCACGGGGAGCACCUGAAGCUGAUGUGGAGCGUAGUGUGGGUCCUGGUCCAGCUGUGUGAGGAGCCAGACACCAGCACCGGCAACUCUGCAUUCACCUGGGGAGGGGUGCAACAGCUGCUCCACAUCCUCGACAGUGAACGGGCGUACGUUUCGGACCGCCCCUCUAUCGAGGCCCAAUGCAGCGGGACGCAUUCCAGAGACAGCACAUCAGUGAGGAGCUCAGUCCACAGGAGGAUGUGGACGACACCAUAUCUCUACAGUCAGGUAGGAACACACACUGGAUAUGUUGACUAUAGCUCAUACAGAUUGAUCUACGUCGAACAUAAACUUAUGUAAAUGUUUGUCUUUAUUGCUGCAUGCUGUGCGGCUCUGACUGAGCUCGUUUUGGAUGACACCACUGCACAUCAGGUGGUUCAGGAGAAUGGGGUCUAUGUAAUUGCGAAAUUGAUUCUGCCACGACGCUUUCUCAGUGGACCAAAAGCAAUAUCCCUACAGUGCUAUGCAUUUCUGAACCUACCUUUCCUCUUCAGCAUGGAAUGUAACCGACAUCUGUUUUUAAGGCUCUAUCCUACAGAUUUAUUUGAGAUGUUCAUUGAUGUUGGACAUUAUGUGAGAGACAUCCCUGUCUAUGAAGCACUUCAAGCAAAAGUUUCUCUCCACACGGUGACACAACUACUAUACUGUAAAAACAACUAUACGUAACAUAUAGCAGGAGGAAUUGGACAGUCUGAGGGAGAGUAUUGAGACUUUCGACCAGAACCACCCUCCUCUGAGAGUGAUCAAUGGUUACUCCAUACUGGACCUUCUAGGCACUUCGGCAGUGUGUUCAAGGUGCCUGACAACCGACACAGACUUGCGUCCAGACAUCGUGGAAGUCAGCUCCAAGAUCUCUGACAUGAUGAGGUUCAUGGACAGCUUGUACACCUCCCAGAAUGCUUUGGAGAGGAGGGCCGGAGCGAGACAGGAAGCGAGCACAGAAGUACUUCCUGGUGAGCCAUCGGGGCAGGGGCAACUGCCGCCACUCCUCUAAAGACCAGGAGAAAACCACUAGUAGGACUGAUGAGUCCAUGGUACCAUAAUUCUUUUUAGGCCACAGCUCAAACCAAAUAAAAAAAUACACCGCCAAGGGCCUGUAAAGAGCAGCGUCAGUGCUUCUGUGGCAGAUGAACAAAUCUUAGCUGUUGGUGAGUUUGCUGUUCUGAAGCCAAGACCUCGACCAGCUAAAUUGGGUCAUUUUGAAGGAUGUUCAACUUUCCUCCUUUAAAACUCUUUAGUUAAAUGGCUUCAACUCAACUGAUAAACAUGUGGGUUUCAUAGCGUCAGCAGGAAUCUGUGUAUCUCAGAGGAAGGUUCGGCAGACCGGUGAUCCCAUCCAAAACCCCCGGUAUCACUCAGCUUCCCCCAGCUCUUCAGCACAGUGUCAAACGGUCGGGCGAUUGAGAGAUUCAAAAAGUCCCUGUUCCACUACGGAAGCAGUCCCUACAGUCUCAAGGUGGAGCUUAACAAGCUGCUCCAGGGUUCUCCAGAGCUAAUGGAGUCGGGCUCUGCCAGCUCAGACUGGUGGUCUCUGGUCCAGUCUUUUGUGCUGCCAAACAAGGUGGUAUGGAAAAUGGGAAUCAGCUAUGAGCAGAUGCAGGUCUGGCUGAAACGGAGAAACUGGAAAUAUGGAUGGUAUAAGUGAUAAUUCCUUUCAGGCCAUUAUAGAGGAGGUUCUGGAGGAGAAUGGAUAAAACGCAAUGAGGAAUGACCAGGGUGCAACGGGGACAAACAAGUGACCUCCAUCCUUAUAUAUCAUAUCUUUAUUAGCAUGCUAGUGUUUUCCAGUCACACUGUGGAAAUGGGCUAGCACUACAUUUCUUUGAGAGGCUGAUAACCUGGACACACAGUCUGCCUAAAGGGGAAGUGUUUCACGACAGGCUCAAACAGAGACAAAUAGGGUCAGAGUACUGAUUUCGGGCAAAAGAAAGCAUUCAUACUUCUCUAUAACAUAUGCAUAUUAGACUAUUUAUGGCUUAAGACAUUGAAACUGUAUGGUUACUUGGAGUUUUUCCUCUUUGUGUUUGCACUGAGCUAAUGUACUCAUGCAUUGAUCAUAUGUACAAAUCUAUACCGUUUCUAGGGUCUUUCUCAGUGGGGUACUGUUGUGUGAUUAUUUUGUGAUCUCUCUCUCGCUCAGGUUACACUUUCUUUAACUCUAAGUAGACUCAGGAUAAGGAUUUUACUGCUUUAUUUCUAGUAUUAAAUUGCAGAAUCACACAUCAGGUGGCAUGUUCCUAAUGUCUCUAUACAAUGACUUUGUUGUUGUUGUUGAGGACUUUUGCACAGUUAAGUAGUCUACUUCCAGAUGGUAUUCUAUGUUAAACGUUAUUAAUUGUACAUUUUAAUUUGUUUCUCAACAGCUAUGCUUUGAGGAAAUCUCAGAUGAAGAUCGAUGCACUUUCUACCUACGUUUAACUUUUAACAGACCGGUAUUCGUGUACUCAGGUCUGUGUGUUAAUAGAAACUCUUGCAUGUAUUUCUAUUACAUGGGAAAUAAAUCGAUUGCUGUGGA